rnacentral:tRNA from 1 species
GGUCAGGAUAGCUCAGUUGGUAGAGCAGAGGACUGAAAAUCCUCGUGUCACCAGUC